rnacentral:rRNA from 1 species
UACGAAGGGGGCGAGCGUUGUUCGGAUUUACUGGGCGUAAAGGGCGCGUAGGCGGCCUUGUCAGUCAGGCGUGAAAGCCCCGGGCUCAACCUGGGAACGGCGCUUGGGACGGCGAGGCUGGAGUUCGGGAGAGGAGAGUGGAAUUCCCAGUGUAGAGGUGAAAUUCGUAGAUAUUGGGAAGAACACCGGUGGCGAAGGCGGCUCUCUGGACCGACACUGACGCUGAGGCGUGAAAGCGUGGGGAGCAAACAGG